GCCGAAGUGGCGGAAUUGGCAGACGCGCUACAUUCAGGGUGUAGUGCCCGUCAGGGCGUGGAGGUUCGAGUCCUCUCUUCGGCACCA
rnacentral:tRNA from 3 species